GAUUUAAUUUAGCGCGAUUUGAAACGGUGAUCGCUUCUGGAAAAGAUUUCGACUAUAAAUCUGGGCGAAAAGAUCCAAUAGCCAACAGUUGUUGACGAUCUUUCUAUUCGUGCCCAACAAGUGAACGAAAAUGCGAUUCCAAACCUCGUUGUUCGGCUUUUGCCUCCUCCUGGUCAUCUUCGUCUCGAUGCUUCCUGGCCACGCCGAUGCGGGCGAUGCUCCAAGCACUGCAUCUCCCGAUGCAUCAUCGACAACUGGUGCAGCUAGGAGACAGAUCUGUGACUCACCGUUAGUACUAAAGGAUGGAAAAUGCGUAACCGGUUGCGCUGAAGGAGAGGUUCUUGCCGAUGGACAAUGCAAAAUGGCCCGAAGUGGACGCUGAGAUUAGCAGUGAGCGUUGGAAUACACCACCCGAGAUGGUCUUCGAGGAAUACAAGGGAAACCAUCUUCAGCUUCAAUCGGUGGUACAACGUCUUUAUGCUAUUAUAUGAAUUCCAUCAAUAAAUCGAAUAAACACUA